rnacentral:rRNA from 1 species
GACGAACGCUGGCGGCGUGCUUAACACAUGCAAGUCGAACGGAAAGGCCCUGCUGUUGUGGGGUGCUCGAGUGGCGAACGGGUGAGUAACACGUGAGUAACCUGCCCUUGACUUUGGGAUAACUUCAGGAAACUGGGGCUAAUACCGGAUAGGAGCUCCUGCUGCAUGGUGGGGGGUGGAAAGUUUCGGCGGUUGGGGCUGGACUCGCGGCUUAGCAGCUUGUUGGUGGGGUAGUGGCUUACCACGGCUUUGACGGGUAGCCGGCCUGAGAGGGUGACCGGCCACAUUGGGACUGAGAUACGGACCAGACUCCUACGGGAGGCAGCGGUGGGGAAUAUUGCACAAUGGGCGGAAGCCUGAUGCAGCAACGCCGCGUGCGGGAUGACGGCCUUCGGGUUGUAAACCGCUUUCGCCUGUGACGAAGCGUGAGUGACGGUAAUGGGUAAAGAAGCACCGGCUAACUACGUG